GAUGAACGCUGGCGGCGUGCUUAACACAUGCAAGUCGAGCAAGUGAGUUCUUCGGAACGAUCUAGCGGCGGACGGGUGAGUAACACGUGGGCAACCUGCCUCAUAGAGGGGAAUAGCCUCCCGAAAGGGAGAUUAAUACCGCAUAACAUCGUUGAAGGGCAUCCUUCGAUGAUCAAAGGAGCAAUCCGCUAUGAGAUGGGCCCGCGGCGCAUUAGCUAGUUGGUGAGGUAACGGCUCACCAAGGCGACGAUGCGUAGCCGACCUGAGAGGGUGAUCGGCCACGUUGGGACUGAGACACGGCCCAGACUCCUACGGGAGGCAGCAGUGGGGAAUAUUGCACAAUGGGGGAAACCCUGAUGCAGCAACGCCGCGUGAGUGAUGACGGUCUUCGGAUUGUAAAGCUCUGUCUCUGGGGACGAUAAUGACGGUACCCAAGGAGGAAGUCACGGCUAACUACGUGCCAGCCGCCGCCGUAA
rnacentral:rRNA from 1 species